UCAGGUAGCAGGAUGAAGAAGUGUCUGACAGAGCCUGACUUCCUACUAUGAAAAAGCACCCUGGUUUAUUUCCUCCCCCUGAUGUUGAUGCCCCUCAGUGGACACCGACGUGUGGCCGUGUGGCCCUGGGGUUCCAGCCCUGAGCUCCUGAGUCAGACCGCAGGGGCGAAGCUGGUUCUGCCCUUCACUAGGAGUGAGACAGUGGGAGUUCGUGUCUCAGCUACCCCUCUGGAAAGUGGGACUGUGGAGUCUUGGAUGAUCAAGUUCUAUUUUCCUUUGAAGCUCUGAACUCCAGUUUUUGUCUCAUUAUUUCCAUUAGAGUGGGAAAAACUCUACUCCAGAUAGAUCAGAACUUUCUGCUUACCUCAGAUUCCUGCUCCAAGUAUUGGCUAAUUUGGCUGCUCUGUGACAUCUUCAGAUACAUUUUAUCAAUUUUGCCUACACGUUGUGGAGCAAGGAUUCAUCUGAUGCAAAGUAUUCUCUGUGGUUAGAAGUGGAAGAUUUGUUUCUCUAUACAUUUGUUGAAGUCUAAUUAGCUACCUUUUUAUUAUUGGAUGGCUAAAAGAAAAUUAGCAUGCUGUCUUCCUCAGUUAUGUGGCAUAGCCAUUGUCUUGGUUCACUGGGACUCCAGCCUUUAAGCCAUACUUAACUGGUUCAGGUACGGGUACCUGAUUAGAAUUUUGUCAGUGGAUCCCUUCCCUGGGAUUUUUGAUCUUGGAAUCUGAGAGAAUUUGAAACUCUGAUUAUAAAACUCAGGGGUUGUUUGACAUCUGGGCUUUCUACCACGUGGGAAAUAUAUUUUGUAGUAAAGACAAGUGAAACCAGUAUGCAGAGCAAUACAAUGAAAAGACAUGGAAAGAGACCUGACGGUGUUGGAAUUCUUGAUUCUGGUUAUUCAGUAAUCCCAGAUGCAUUUCUGCUUUUCCUGUGGAUU